UAAGCCUGUGAAGGUGGCCUGUGAGGGUUGCUGGAGGUAUCAGAAGUGCGAAUGCUGACAUAAGUAACGAUAAAGCGGGUGAAAAGCCCGCUCGCCGGAAGACCAAGGGUUCCUGUCCAACGUUAAUCGGGGCAGGGUGAGUCGACCCCUAAGGCGAGGCCGAAAGGCGUAGUCGAUGGGAAACGGGUUAAUAUUCCCGUACUUGGUGUUACUGCGAAGGGGGGACGGAGAAGGCUAUGUUGGCCGGGCGACGGUUGUCCCGGUUUAAGCGUGUAGGUGUGUGUUCCAGGUAAAUCCGGUUCACUUUAACACUGAGGCGUGAUGACGAGGCACUAUGGUGCUGAAGCAACAAAUGCCCUGCUUCCAGGAAAAGCCUCUAAGCAUCAGGUAACAUCAAAUCGUACCCCAAACCGACACAGGUGGUCAGGUAGAGAAUACCAAGGCGCUUGAGAGAACUCGGGUGAAGGAACUAGGCAAAAUGGUGCCGUAACUUCGGGAGAAGGCACGCUGACACGUAGGUGAAGUGAUUUACUCAUGGAGCUGAAGUCAGUCGAAGAUACCAGCUGGCUGCAACUGUUUAUUAAAAACACAGCACUGUGCAAACACGAAAGUGGACGUAUACGGUGUGACGCCUGCCCGGUGCCGGAAGGUUAAUUGAUGGGGUCAGCGCAAGCGAAGCUCCUGAUCGAAGCCCCGGUAAACGGCGGCCGUAACUAUAACGGUCCUAAGGUAGCGAAAUUCCUUGUCGGGUAAGUUCCGACCUGCACGAAUGGCGUAAUGAUGGCCAGGCUGUCUCCACCCGAGACUCAGUGAAAUUGAACUCGCUGUGAAGAUGCAGUGUACCCGCGGCAAGACGGAAAGACCCCGUGAACCUUUACUAUAGCUUGACACUGAACAUUGAGCCUUGAUGUGUAGGAUAGGUGGGAGGCUUUGAAGUGUGGACGCCAGUCUGCAUGGAGCCGACCUUGAAAUACCACCCUUUAAUGUUUGAUGUUCUAACGUGGACCCGUGAUCCGGGUUGCGGACAGUGUCUGGUGGGUAGUUUGACUGGGGCGGUCUCCUCCUAAAGAGUAACGGAGGAGCACGAAGGUUGGCUAAUCCUGGUCGGACAUCAGGAGGUUAGUGCAAUGGCAUAAGCCAGCUUGACUGCGAGCGUGACGGCGCGAGCAGGUGCGAAAGCAGGUCAUAGUGAUCCGGUGGUUCUGAAUGGAAGGGCCAUCGCUCAACGGAUAAAAGGUACUCCGGGGAUAACAGGCUGAUACCGCCCAAGAGUUCAUAUCGACGGCGGUGUUUGGCACCUCGAUGUCGGCUCAUCACAUCCUGGGGCUGAAGUAGGUCCCAAGGGUAUGGCUGUUCGCCAUUUAAAGUGGUACGCGAGCUGGGUUUAGAACGUCGUGAGACAGUUCGGUCCCUAUCUGCCGUGGGCGCUGGAGAACUGAGGGGGGCUGCUCCUAGUACGAGAGGACCGGAGUGGACGCAUCACUGGUGUUCGGGUUGUCAUGCCAAUGGCACUGCCCGGUAGCUAAAUGCGGAAGAGAUAAGUGCUGAAAGCAUCUAAGCACGAAACUUGCCCCGAG
rnacentral:rRNA from 1 species